GGAAUGUUAGCACCAAAGAAAGAGAAUUGCUGAAACGCUGAUCAUUCAGAGCAAGGCUUCUCAUCCCAACACUUCCCAGUUUUAAGAUGCAGCUGGGCACUGGACUCUGGAGAUGAACAGAGAGAAGGAAGAGAGAAACUUCAACUCCAAAGAUAUCUCAGCAUCACUCAACUGUGAAGUGGAGCAGAAGGAAAGCUCCAUGGAAGAGAGCUGGAGAGUGGGUCCUGGAUGAGGACACGACCUUCAGGAUGCCCUUUCCAUCUCUCAGCAAAGCAGCUGAGGAGCUCCUGUUACAGAGCAGGUGGUCCAAGGACUCCUCAUAGGCAUUCUUCAUCUUGAACAGCUCUGUGCUGAGAGAGCGCGACUCCUUCUGCGAGGCCUCCAGCUCAGCCUGCGUUUCCUCAUACUUCUGCUUCCAUUCUGCCAGGAUCUGAAGAGAAACGGAGGCUCCUUCCGCUUUGCCUCAGCUUUCGCAAGCUCUUCCUUGGUUUUCUCAAAUUCUUCCUUCAUGUUUGCCAUCUCCUUCUCAGACUCUGCACUCUUCAGCAAGGGCUUGAUCUUGAAGAACAGCUUCAUCCAUGGCCAGUGUUUGACAUUCAUGAAUGCACGAAUGUUGUACUGAAUACAGAAGAUGGAUUCCCUGAGGAAUAAUUAAAAUGUGCAAUGAAUAUUCUCAGUCUGACAAGUGUCAAAACUUUUCCAUGAGCAAAAUGACUUUAACUGAAGAAGAGGAAGGUGUACCUGCGCUCCACCAUUCUCCGGUAUUCCACCCUCAUCAGAAAGCCUCUGCACAAGGCCUGGGUGCGGGUGAUGAGCUGUGCCAGCUUCUCAUCCCUCAUCUCCUCCAGAACCCCUAUCAGCCCAGCUUUGAAGAACACCUUGAGAGAGGGAACGUUGCAGCACAUCACUGUCAGGUAGAGAGAGCAAAGCCCAGGCAGGCAGAGAAUGGGGGGGUUUGUACCUUGGUGUGUCCAAAUUUGUACUGGGUGUGGUCCACAUCGAUUGAACUAAGAAGCUUCUCAGAAGCCUUCUUGCUAUCGAUGAACUGUCCCUCAGGGAUGGCACUGGCAUUAAGCACCUUGUAUCUGUGGAAUUGGAGGAAAUAGGAGGAAGACAAUGUCCAGUCAUAAGAACAUUCUUUCAUUACUGAAACCAAGAGCAGUGUUUGCAGCAACAUGAGACUGAGGAAGUUGGAAUUUCAUCUCUCCAUACUUAGAGACCCUGGCAAACUCAGUCAUGUGUUGGAGAGAAGUUGGUGAGGACUCUUGAUUUAUCUCUAAAUUUCAUAGCUCUCACCUCUGUUUGAAGUCAGCGUAGAGGACUCUGCUGGGGAACCCUUUCCUGCAGAUCCUGAUCCCUUCCAGCACGCCGUUACAGCGCAGCUGGUGCAGCACCAGCUCAUGCUCCAUGGCACCUGGCAAUGCAGAGCACAAAUGAGUGGCACAGAUUGCAGUGCAGAGGGGAAUGGAUGCAUCAGAGCAAGGAUCUUUCAGCUUGGGGCUCUUACCAGGUGUUUUAGUCUCAUUGGGGAUGAUGCAGCGCACAAAGUGGGGGUGAGUGCUCCGCAGAUUGGUCAUCAGCUUGUUGAGAUUCUCCUGUGGGAUCAUGAUUUAGUGUGCAUUUAUAAGAAAAAUGGAAAAAAACCACAUUGCAUUCCUUGAAUUUCACAUGAAAGACCAAUUGAUGGAGAUGUACUGGGCUGAAAAUUGUCAGCUGAGAAUGCCUCAAUCAAUUCGUCAGUUCCUUCUGAUUCCCAGCAUUAAACCUCACCUUGUAGGACAAGAAAAAACCUACCAUCAACCUAAUGAAACAUAUAAAGCGGGCAUGUUUUAUGAAAAAACUUUAUGUUUAUAUUAAGCGUAAAUUUAGGUUUUUACAGUGUCAUUUUUCAUUCCAUGGGAUUUUUGCUUCCAAUGGUGGUCUAAAGAGAAGAUAUACUUAGAAUAUUUUUUGGUUGGUUGGUUGGUUGGUUGAUUGUUGGGGUUUUUUUUCCUUUUUUCUCCUGUGUUUGAGCCUGCUCAAAAUACAGAAUAAUUCUGUGCAUAUAUGAAAAGAAAAGGUGUUUACGUACCCGGAAAAGAGCUGAGACGGUCUGGAAAGAAGAACCCUUCUUCUUGCCUCCCUUCUUGCCACCACCACCACCACCACCACUAGCCUCUGAUAAAGUAAAGAUAAUGAAACAUCUGUUGCUUUGAGGACCAACCACCGUGCAUCAAAGAAAUGACAUUUCAGAGAACUGACCUGCCUCUCCUCCAGCAGAUGCAAAGAGUAAAGCCAGGGUCUUCACAGAUGAUUUCUGGUACAGCCCAAUGACAGUUUCAUUCAGAGGGUCCUUGUUCUUCUCCAGCCAGCCAGCAAUGUUGUAAUCCACUGUGCCAGCAUAGUGCACCAGGGAGAAGUGAGCCUCAGCCUUGCCCUUGCCAGGCUUGGGCUUCUGGAAGUUGUUGGACUUGCCCAGGUGCUGGUCAUAGAGCUUGUUCUUGAAAGAGGUGUCAGUUGCCUUGGGGAACAUGCACUCCUCUUCCAGGAUGGAGAAAAUGCCCAUGGGCUGGGAGAAGCACAAGGAAAGAGGGAGGUCAAGGUGAAAAGGCAGAAAGAUUCAGAGAUGAAAUAACUUCUUGAGUGGGACAAUAUUACUGCUCUCUGGCAUUGUUCUGUUCAGCAAAUUGUAAAAGAAUACAAACUCACGUACCUGUAGUAUCAUAUUUACCAUUUCAAGCUGCAUUUAGAAAUAUAUAUAAAAUGAAUGCAUUUCUGGAAAUAGCUGACAUUGUGAAUUACAGAAAUACCUUCUCAAUGAGCUCAAUGCAGGCAGCCAGGUCCAUGCCAAAGUCAAUGAACUCCCAUUCAAUCCCCUCCUUCUUGUACUCCUCCUGCUCCAGCACGAACAUGUGGUGGUUGAAGAACUGUUGCAGUUUCUCAUUGGUGAAGUUGAUGCACAGCUGCUCCAGGCUGUUGAACUGCUCAGUGGAAAAAAACCACAACAACCCACCCUCAUCAAUAUGCUCAGUUCUUCAUCAUUCUCCUUCACCCUCUAUAAAUCUCCCCAUUUAAAACAUAACUGUAUUAUCAGGACCACACCAUAACAGAAGAACCUAUAUGCAGUUUCAGAAAGAAAUACCUACAUAAUGAAAAUGAGGGAAGUUUUUUGGAGCAGAUUUUUUUAGUGAAUCUCUUAAAAUUAUAAAAUACCUUGACAUUUUUUUAUUCAGCAAACGAGUGCGUGCUCUUGUCUCCAAAUUGAAAACCCUUGAUAUCUGUCUUAUCAAACAAAUAAUUAUUCAUUUCUUGGUUCUUUAAAUUUUUUGAACAUCUUUUAAUGCAUUUUAUAUUUGCCAAUGCAUCUCCUAGCUCUGCUCCAGAAGCUCUGUUAUAAAUUUAUCCAAAAUAUUUUGGGUUAUUUAAUCUUUAACAUUAAGCUCAAACAUUUGUAGUAUUACAACAUAUAAAAUUCUAUUUGCUACUUCUGCACAAACAACAUGACUCUGUGCUUGUACUGAUGGAGCUUUUGUGGAUUUGGUUUUCUUCUGGAAAAGAAAAUGGCUGGGGUUUUUUUCUACAUAAAAUCACAAAUGACUAGCAUGUUAAACCUUCAGAAGAAUAUUACUUGCAAGUCCUCUAAUAUAGCAAUCUUUCCCUUCAAGAGCAGCCCUCAAACCUGAAAUUCUUACAUCAAAGAUCUCAAAGCCAGCAAUGUCCAGCACACCAAUGAAGUACUGCCUGGGCUGCUUCGUGUCCAGCUGUUCGUUGAUGCGAACAACCAUCCACAGGAACAUCUUCUCAUAGACAGCCUUUGCCAGGGCACCCACUGAGUUGUAUACCUAAACCAAAGCAGAAUGGAGCAGAAGGAAAUUAGCAGCCAAAGGGAGAGAGUAAAUCAAGACUGAGGUUCCCAGUCACCAAGUGGUUGUUGUUACCUGCUGCACAGUUUGGCCCUUGGUCACGUAUUCAUUGCCCACCUUGACUCGGGGGUAGCAGAGGGCCUUGAGCAGGUCUGCUGAGUUCAGACCCAUCAGGUAGGCAGCCUUGUCAGCAACUAAACACAAAGAGAGAGGGAGGAAGCAACAGAGGAGAAGUGAUAAUUGAAAGUGGAUAUCCUCUGAGACAUAGCUGUUGGUCUCAUCACUGAAAUUUUGUGAUAUCUUGAAGGGAAAUUUAGAAGCAUGAAUAGUCUGGAAGUUGAGAUUUAUGCACUUGUGAGAGUAAACAGAAGGAAAGAAAAUACAUGAUUGCCAACUUCCAGCUAUAUAACCAUAUCUGUUAUUAGGAGUUCUACAAGCUUUAAUACCUUCUGUGCCAUCAGGCUCUGCCUGCUCCUCUCGUUGUUUCUGCUUGAACUUCAGGUUCCCGUAGUGCAUGACAGCCCCUGUCAGCUUGUAGAUGGCUGUUCUCUCAUCAGCAGUGAAACCCAGGAUGUCAAUGGCACUCUGGCAACAGAAUCACUCAAAUAAACCUCCAGGCCAUUAUAAGGAAGUUUCACCACACCAAUAUGCUCUGUGACACUUACAUCUGUAGCCAUCAGCUCCUCCUGGUCGUUAAUGCUGGGAACUGUGAUCUCUCCUUGACUCACAAACUGGUAGUCAUAUGGGUUGGUGGUGAUGAGGAGCAUGUCUGUAAAGAGGAAUAGGAUGUAUCUGGGUGUGAGAAUGAAGAUAAAUAUUAAACACAUUCAGAUUUUAUCAAACAAUUCAUAAUACUUCAUACCGAUUAGCUCCGGCUUCUUGUUGGACAUGAUCUGAUAAAAGAUGUGGUAGCUCCUUUCCGCCUUGAGCUGGAAAGUGACUCUGGACUUCUCCAGCAGAUCUGGCAAGGAAGGUAGGACAGAGUCAGACCUGAGAGAGAACACCGAGGUGGAAAGGGAGGAAGGAAUGGGAUCAGGUCUGGUGGUUUCUUACAUGUUUCAAUAUCAGCAGAAGCCAGCUUGCCUGUGGCACCAAAGUGAAUUCGAAUGAAUUUGCCCUUUUAGAGGGGAAAGAAAAAAAGACAUGUUGAAAUUUCACCAUGACUAUAAGCAUGUGGCCUUACAUUUUCCACAGAGGACAUGCUUCAAACUUAGAAGUUGUUUCACUUUUAUUUUUUCUUUAAAAAAGCAAAACAGGACAAAAACAGAUUCAGGAAGUUCUCUAGAUUGACAAUACUAGUUAGAUCUGAAUUUAAUAUCCACUACUAUUUAAUGGAUAACCAUUAAUGCACAUGAAUGAGAAGAGCAUUAAUAGAGCAUUUUAUUGGGUCACCUAUGUUGCAACUCCAACACAUGGAUAUACUGAAAGCCAUUUUCUAAUCAGAAAGCAUGCUGUGAAGGCAGGUUCUGGUGGUAUAAAAGUUAAAUGAGGAAUUUUGGUCUUGUGGAAAAUGGAAGUCAGCUGUUAUUGAGUUGUAGAGAUAGAGGCAACACACCAAAAACAAGGAGCUUAAAUCUGAGACUGAGGAUUGGUAUUGUGAUUUUUCAAGGAAGUCACAGUUAAUCUAACAGAGCUUAUGAAUGGCUUUUUGCAUUAAAAUGAUCAAAAUAACAUUCCAUAGAGUAGUUUGUUUUCUGGUAGGAUGUAUUGAAGGAACCCUGUCCCUACCCCUUUCUAAAGAACUUAUAUCAAGGUCUGAACAGUCAGAUUAAUACACCUGCCCAGUUUUGUGCCUAAAACCCAGAGAUUUGGUUUUUUGCUAGUCUGAUGAAGGCCAGGUAAAUUUCCAUCCAGCAAUUGCUCUCCUGUAUGCCCCUUCUUCCCCUUCUUCUCUCUUACAUCAUCUUCCACCAAAUUGUGUCUUCAGUCAGUAUGACAGACACUAAGAAUAUGUGUAUAUAUAUUUAUAGGAAGUAAUUAUAUAGAUAAUAUAACAUAUUUAAAUUAUCCCCCUUUGUAUACUGUAUUGUACUUCUAAGGAUGUAUUUUUAAUUAGAUAGUCCACUUUAAUUGGCAAAAAUACACGGAAAAUAGUAGUUUAAUGAGUACAGUCAUCUGACUUUGACACUUCAGAAGUGACAGCAUGUUCUCACAUCCUUGUUCCCAUAUAAAAGACAACUUCUCUAAUGAAAAACUCACAAAGCGUGAGGAGUUGUCGUUCCUCACGGUCUUGGCGUUUCCAAAGGCCUCCAGCAGUGGGUUGGCACUGAUGAUUUGAUCCUCAAGCGUUCCCUGCAGGGACAUCAUUAUUCAGUGACUGUGUUUGGUUGACAGGGCAAUGACAGUCCAAGCAUUCAGUCAGUUCUUCCUGACUCACCUGCAUCUUGCCUGAUGUCUUCUCCUCCUUCUUCUUCUCUCCACUGGCUGCAAUUGUUGCAAAGUACUGGAUGACACGCUUUGUGUUCACAGUCUUCCCGGCCCCGGAUUCUCCGCUGCCAAAGCCAAGAGAGAAGCAGAGGGUGCGUGGUCAGGCAGGAGGUGCCCUGGCACCGGGCAGCCCCCAGGGACCCAUGCAGGGGGGUACCUACGUGAUCAGGAUGGACUGGUUCUCCCGAUCUGUGAACAAGGCAGAAACACAGUACUUAAAACUCCGUGAACAACAGAGAAAGAAUGAAACAUAGUCAGUGACUUUUCCCGAUUCCCUGCUCGUGAUUGUCCCUUUCACAAAGGAUUCCUUUGCGUGUACCACGAAGACAGAUGUCUUGGCAUCAAAAGGGCUGGAUUCCAUCGAUGCCGGAAGCCAAACGCAGCCCGGCUCAACGAGGCAGGGCAGAAGGAAGGAUGUGUAUGGGAACAGUCUGCUCUGACCAGAAAUGCAGCUUGGGCAAAGCACUGCAGUGCUGAUAUUCUCCAAGGAGGAAAGGGAAUUCAGGCAUCCUGAAGACAGGCUCUUGAUGAGAAGAUCACAGAAUGGUCCAACUCCUCUUGGAUAGGGGAGUUUCUUUAAUAAAUAAGAACACCUGUAUCCAGA